UUGCAGAGAUGAAGUACCUGUUUUCUAUGUGGAGCUCCUCUACGAAUGAAGUACUUUGGCCUUUUAAAGCUACUUCCCCACCCCAUAAAUGUAACAAGGUUUGCUAAGAUUAAAAGUGAUGAAGGGAAAAUAACUGUGGCUGUGCAAGAAGCAAUAUGUUUAGAUCUGUAAUUUACUUUCUUGAAACAAUAUUCUCAUUUAAUCUCCAACCAGACAUCCUAUGGAAAGCGGGAGAUGAAAAAUAUCAUUUUCCUAGGAGGGGUUUGCCUUUCUUUUCUUUUUUUUAAUUAGAGGUACAUAUAAAAGCUGUGAUAUUUUAUAUAAGCCUUGGUGUUUAUGGGCGCUUAUAAAUGGCAACAUGCUGCUGAGAACAGAAUAAUUAUGGAAAACAGCUCAAACCUUUAAAGGAAAUAUUAUUUACAAAACAAAUUGCAACUUGUUCAAUUUUUAAAACCAUAAUGCUAAUAAUUAAAUGUUGGCAAAGGCAUAUUUCCCAUAUUUUAAUAUAUAGAUAGAUAGAUUUUAGAUUUUAUUUAUAAAGUGUUAUGACUUUGACGGUCAGUCUGGCUGCUACCCUGGGCCCCUUCCAAUUCUUGGGAUCCUGUAUCUGUAUCAUGUAUAAAAGCAGAUCUUUUUUUCAGCCAGAACUCAAGAGAAUUCAGUUUUGGCACCUCUUUUUCUAGAAAAACAGCACUGUAUAAAAGCAAACUUACCAAACUAGCUCCUUUGUCGAGGUAAUGGCUUUAGCUGGUCAAAGAGUGAGCUAAGUGAUGGUGCUCUCCAGGAAAGCAGAUAGGCGUUUUUAUCCACUCCCCUCACUUUGCUGGAGACCAUGUGAUCCUAAGUAGAAGAACAAUGGUCAAAGCUCUGUGCAGAGAUAGAAAGAUACAUGUUUUUGCUCUAUGCUGGAUCCAAAGCUGUAAUUAAUGAGGAAGCAAGGUCUUUUGGGGUGUUAAUGCUGGAAGCCGUUCCAUCCUUUGCUCAGCUUAUAUAUAUAUAUGUAAAUAAAACCAUAUAUCCUAAAGACACCACAGUCUCUCAGAGCUGACCUUCAUUACAAGGAAACCAAACCCCUGAAGUCUCUCAAUGCUUGGAGAUGGGGUAGUGUGUAACAAUAUCAAAUUAACCAUAGCUCCAGGCAGGUGUGAAAGCCAACAUAUCUCCUUCUCGAAACCAGCUACCUUGUGGUAAUUUUACUGAGUUCAGUGUGACUACUUUGAGUAAAUAUUAAUGUGAUGAUUAUUGCUAGAUAAUGGCAUGCAUUCACGCUGCAAUAACUUUAUUUUUAGGGGGGAAAGAGGGGACAUAAUUUUAGUUUUUUAACACUGCAGCUUAUCCUGUUCCAGUAAGUGUAUUAUGAAAGAAAACAUUUUAUUGCAGGCCUAUUUCUGUUCACUCAAUCUCUGCCAGUCCAGUUAGAUUUUGCAUCCUUUCCGCCCACUUCAACACAAGUACAUGCUUAGACUCCUGAUGCAGCAAAUCUCUCCUUAUUAAAAUUGCCAUUUCCAUAUAAGACAUCCUGAUUGAAAACUGGCCCCUGCUUUUAUUUCCUUGCCUUCCUGAAUCAGGGAUGAAGUACUUUAGUGGAUCUGAGCCACAGCUAUUAGCAUUUUGUAGAAAUAAAUGCCAAAUGUGCCAUACUUUAGUUGUAGUUCAGGAACAAGUGUUUGACUUCUCUGCAGAUGAUUCCAUAGCUGUCACUUCUGUUCUUCUAGAACAGUUAUUUUAUUUUUGUUUUAUUUGCUUUAUUUUUACUGUGGGUCAGGAAAUACAUGAACGUGCAAUCUGUGACACCACAUCAAUUCAAUCAUGGUUCUUUGGAUGUCCAGUCAUUAGUAAAUGGAGACCUUCAAACCCCUUUCCAUGUUUUUGUUGGCAUUUUUUUAUUCCUGAGUCUUGCCAUUUUCAUUGUUUUUCAGGUACAACCCAAUAAUUCUGUCAUGUAACACCAUUGAUUAAUUACUGAUAUUUUAGCGGUUGCAUGGAAAUUCCAGAGAUUUACUAAAACUUAGCAUUAUUCAGAAUGUACAUUAAUUCUGUGAUCCUGGACAUCCCUGAGAGUAAGUUGCAUUAAACUGAAUGGGACUUAUUUAUAAUUAUGCACAUUAUAGGAUUGCACUGUAUGUUCUGACAAAAUACGGAGGGUUGGAUUCAACAUAGCAUUAAGGUGAAUGUUCCACCAGCACAAAUUUUCUUCUUGUGCAAAAAAAAUGUUCUCUCCUUGUGCUCCCAAUCUGUUCUGGAGUUUUCCCCCAACUCCCAGAGCAGAUUUUGGGGUGCUGUAGGGCACACAUGAGGGAGACAAGCGGGGAAACCUCAUUGUGCUAGCAAUAAUGCUUGCACUAGUGCAAGAAUUUAGUUGAAUAUUUCCCUGAGAUGAUUAAAGGAGAUAGGAUUUGACAUUCUGACUUUAGUUUCGUGGUCAACUAUACUCCAAAAUUUUUUAAUCUUAUAGGACCAUUUGAGACUAAAAACAGUUAAAGAAUAUACACAGUCUGGAUUUAAGUCAAAUUAUUUGCUUUCUUCCAACUAUGGACUUCAAAAUAAAUAUCUGUCCCUGUGUAUAUAGCUAAAGUUCACUUGAUUGAGCUACACUCUCUAAAAGUUUGCUUGAAAAGUCAGUUUUCUCUAUCAGUUCAGUACAAUUUCUAGCCACCAGUAUUAGCAUUCCAGCUGGGUUAGUCAUCCCACCAUGUUUCGGUAAUUGCUAUGUGUUCGUACCUCUCCCCCCACCCGAGCAUUAUUAAUUCAAAUCUCCAUCCUGUUUAUUACUCAUGCUUCUGGACAAUAGGAAACGGCAGGCAAGGAAAUCUGCUAGGUUUGAGGAUUUAGAGUCUAGCAAUGCACUUCCUGGGGCUUUUAAAAAAAAGUAUUCUCCAAAACCUAAGCUUUUAAUAAAAGAAGGGGGGCAGACAAGCAUCCCAAAACUUCAUACUUUAUAAAGAGCUUUCACUAUACAAAAUCAGAGAGUAAAACUAGAGCAAAAUUAUAUGACAGGUGUUUCAGAGUAAGGGUUAGGAAUUGGACUAGCCCAGAGGAUUAUAUCUCUGUUGCAAGUUACCUAGUCCCAGACUAUCAAGUGGGACUCAGACUCAGUCUUGGGAUCCAUACACAGCUGCUUCAUAUGGUAAUUCAUUGAAAGGCAGCUCGCAGCAUCUGUCUAGAAGGGGCGUGCAUCAGCACUGCAUAUUUUCUCAGUUAGGAGCCAAACAGGAGUGAUCCACAUGGGUGUCUUCAGAAAUGAUUCUGGGGGGGGGGGUCUAAGACUUGUAAACUACAGGUUAUUGACUUGUUCUGUAUUUGACUGAACCCCUGUUACUGUUAGAAUUCCUGCUCCGUGAUUGCAGUCAUGGGAUUUUUGUCUAUCCCAUGACGGUGUAUGUUUUGACUCCACAAAGUAGGAAGUGACGGAGACAGGAUGUUUGUGUUACUGUGUUCCGUGAAGUGGGGCUAUUGUCCUUUGUUCUUUUUUUCUUUGCUGUCUGAUGCUAGGGAGAGAGGGAAUCAUGUUGCAGUGCUCCCUGUGUGUUUAUAUGUAAAUAAAGUAGAUUAGCCAAAAUGCUGAGUUGCUGAGGUCUGUCACGCAAGUUGCGCAAACUCUGUGGAUCCAUAAGUGUGCCGUUGUCGGUUGGCAUCGGUCGCUGUGAUGUUCGGUCUGAAGAAAGCUUUUGAAGCUCCCGAACAAUCAACCAGGAGGGAGGGAACAUGCCAGUUGGGCAUGUGUCUCUGCCAAGGUCCUACACGAGUGUAGGCUGAACUUCUGACAGUUACAUGGUGCUGCUGAGAAGGAAUGAGGAACAUUUGUGGGUUGUGCCUAUGCGUGAUUUAUUGUAUUGUAUGGAAUUAUACAUACAGUGCCCUGAAUCUAUGGCCCCAAUUUGUACCCCCCUCCCCGCAUCAGGCUUAUCCACCCUGUCCUGACAUGAAACCACCCAUCCCAGAUCCAUUCCUGGAUGGCCUUAGGGGUGUGACUGAGGGCUUUUAAAUCCUCUCUUCAACAUACAGUAGGGAGGGAAGUGGAGGAAGGAGAGACACUGCAUCUCCUUACUCCAGCCACCUGUCUGAGGGAGAAUUGCUGCUCUUCUAUGAGGAGCUUCCCUCAGGAAGGAGGAGCAACCCUUUCACAGCUCAGAACUUGAAUUACUGUUCAAAGCAGAGACAGCACAGAACAACUCAGGAACAGAUCAUAUUUUUAAAAAAGUGCACAGAUACAAGGCAACUCUCGAGACCUGUGAAAUCUCAGUCUGUGCUAUCUAUUACGAUGUGGGUUUUCCCCCUCUAUAAAAAUGAGAUUUAAACUAGGUUUCGUGCUACAGCUUAUUGUUGCCCUUCAAGGCUGCUAUGCUAGGAUGGAGCUGAAAACUAAGUUUGACUCUUGAGUGGUACGUUAUUACAGAUUUAGCUUCUGAGCUAUAUGAUUUUAUUUAUAAAUAUUGAGAUUUCGCUCUUCGCAUAUGGUGCCUUUGCUGUGCCCUUGUUGCAGUUUAUGCUGAUGCUAAAAAAUAUAUUCAAAUACGUUGGUGGUACUUAUUCUCUUCUAACACAGCUCCCUAACUUGCUUGUUCCCUUGAUGCUCUGUCACGGGGCCAAGAUGCUUAGUCAGCUGGGGCUCCCCCUUUGAUCUCAGAGGGUUCAUGUUCUACGUUUGCAGUUGUGAGUAUGAAGCAGACCAUGAUUGUACAGAUGCUGAUUUUUCACACUAGGCCUCUCUCAGAAACCCACAGACCCAUGAGCAUAUUAUCUAUAUUUCUGUGGAGCUCUCUGAGUAAGUGCUAGGUUCGCCACAGAACCAGUUUGUCAGCAUUUUUCAGCUCAGUAGUUUAUGCCAGGGAGCCACUGAAAGCAGGAAAAAAAAGAUGCCAUCUUCCUGCUGAUGAAGUAAUCAACACACACCUGUUUUCUGCUGUGAAAAGCAAAACCAACCUGCAGUUGUUAAUGCUGUGGCCUUUUAAUCUGCAAGGUGGCAAGAAAGAAGCCUACCAUAAAGAUCUACUUUUGACAAGCUUUCUCUGACUGUUUGCAAAUUGAACAGGAACCACAGGACACUGGCAUAUGUAUCUGUUUCUGUGAUGACAGAUUAUAAUGUCACUGCUAAAAAUUAGAAUCUCACAUGACAAAAAGAGAGAGAAGCCCAGCUGUGAACAAAGCUUUUGUUUAUAUCAAGACCAACCAAAAUGGCUUGUCCUCCUGUCUCUGUUCAAAACGCAACCUAGCAUUGAGUGUUCCCAUUUAAGUACGAAGAACAGGUGCUACAUUCAGCAGACAGGGUACAAAAUCUGUGUACUCUGUUUUCCAUAUGUUCAAUAGGCUCCAAUAGGUUUUUUCUUUGUUUCACAGGAAGCAUAGGAAUAGAUGAAAAUACCUUUCUCCAAGUCAAAAUAUUGACCCAUAUAGUUCAGAAGUGAACAGUGACUGGCAACAGCUCUCAGGUUUUCAGACAGAAAUCUUUUUGAGCCCCAAACAUUGGCAAGAAACAUGCAAAUGAACUCUGGCCUUUCUCCUUUUAAAUUGGACAAGGAUUGUCCUGGUGCUGAAAACAAUGAAAAUCAGUUUUCGCAGGAUCUUUGAUCACCUUUACAGAAAAUUUACAAGUAGGAAAAAAUGGCUUGAGAAUUCUCUUUCCUCCUGUUUGUUUCGGUUCCUGAGAACCUCCCAUAGGUUGUAUCCAAAACAGGGAGUGUCCAGGGAUUCCUCCUCCACCUGAAGUUCCUCAUACUCCCCAGAUCUUCUCUGAAGGGUUCCCAACAUCCCAGAGCCAAUUAUGGUGGCAAGUUGGGUGGGUUCUGAAUGGGGGAGAGGAAUGAAUCUCAAAUUGCUUCCAUUUAUGUUCCACUGAGGCAUGCCUUUUUGUCAGGGAAGGUCUAAUAACUGGAUACCACCCUAUUAGCAUCAGGGGCUUGAUUGUAUCCUCUGUUACCUUCAAUGUUAUUGGGUUAUCUUUGGGAUAUGGUGCCAUUGGGCUAAUGCAGACAAAUGGAGGUCAUGAGAUGAUGGAUCUGAUGGCUCCUAUGAAAUAGACACCAAACUAUAAUGUUGGAUAGGUAAAGGUAAAGGUAAAGGUACCCCCUGACCGUUAGGUCCAGUCGCAGACUCUGAGGUUGUGUGCUCAUCUCACUCUAUAGGCCAAGGGAGCUGGCGUUUGUCCGCAGACAGCUUCCAGGUCAUGUGGCCAGCAUGACUAAGCCACUUCUGGUGAACCAGAGCAGCACACAGAAAUGCCGUUUACCUUCCCGCCGGAGCAGUACCUAUUUAUCUACUUGCACUUUGAUGUGCUUUCGAACUGCUAGGUUGGCAAGAGCAGGGACUGAACAACAGGAGUUCACCCCGUUGCGGGGAUUUGAACUGCCAACCUUCUGAUCAGCAAGCCCUAAGCUCAGUGGUUUAAACCACAGUGCCACCCACGUCCCAAUAAUGUUGGAUAUGUUAUUGCAAACCAACAACUACAUGAAUUUGCACCAACAGUCCUGUUCACUGUACUGAACUACCUGCUUCUCUUUGAAUUAGUCCAGAGAGUGGUGAGCCCUGAACUGUCAUGGGGAUAUAUUUAAAGCUGCUGUCACUUAGUCCUCCAGAUUUGUCUGCAUCUCCCCAUCCUUUUACAUAGUCCAGAUAGGAAGCACCUAUGGCUCCGUGCCGAGUUCUAUUGACUCUAAGAGAUCAACUGUCAUCAAAAUAGCAGGAGCCAAUUUGCUGAUUUAAAAAGGAAUAGAGAAUGAUUCUCCUUGCCAAUAAUUUUCAUCACUGGUUAUGUUAGAAAAGCAUCCAAAAACACCUUUCAGUUGGCAACAAAUGAAUUUGAAAAACAGUGUUAAUUGCUUUGACUACGAUAAGAAAUACUUUUUUUCAUGGUUCAUCUUCUAAAGAGACAAUAAUCACACCUUUUUAUAGUAAUGCAUUUCAGUCCUCUCCUUUAACAUGUUUUGAUAAAUUCUUAUAAGCAGCUCUAUAGCUAGUAGUUGGGGUGCCUGUGUUUCUAAUAGAAAAUGCAUACAUUUGUCAUAAUUUGAUCCUUAAAGUGUGAAGUGCCAGUAUUCUAUAAAUAAAUAUAGACACUAAGAAAUUAUCCUAUGAUGUGCCAGCUUCGGAAAGUUAAUAAAUAACAGCUAGGAAUGCUAAUUAUUCAUCAAAACAAGAGGAAAUUAAAGGAGUACCUACUUACCUCUUUUUAAUCAGGCUCAUAUUCCAGAGUUAUUUACAAGUCUGCUACUAAAUGUUAGGGCCAAAAUCCGACACAGUUAAGCAUGGUGCCAAUGAGCUUAAGUGCACUUUACUCUUCAUUAAGCCCAGAUCUAUUUAAAUGAAUGGGAAUCUUGCCAUUGACUUCAAUGAAUUGUCCUCUUGGGAUUCAAGGGCACUUAUUUGAAUUAAGCACAAUGCAAGCACAUACUGAAGUAUUUUUUAAAAUUGUUUUAUAGGUCAUAUUAGACAUUGCAUAUGAGUUCUGAGACCUAAAAUCUUGAAUAUCAAAACUCAGAAAGUUGUCUGACUUUAAUAUGUUUUUUAAAAGUCACAAUUAAUGACUAACAGCAGCUGCAGUAUGUGUGCCAGUUUCAAGGUGGGAUGAAGCAAUCACUUGAAAUGACCUCUUGGAAUUUUUCACUAUAAACUAAAUAAGAUGGGAGAAAACUGAGUGUUGCUGGCCAUGCACUUUGGACUUCUUAAAGGCUGAUUUUAAAAAGCUUAAGAAACUACUAGGUUCAAUCCCACGGUCAGUAAUAGUCCGUGGAAUUCAGGGAAUUCAAAGAUGGUUGGGAGUUUCUUAAAGGUGAAAUACUGAAGACAAUCUGAAUUAGGAGGAUACGUAGACAGACAACUUCCCCCCUUCUGCUGUCUCAAUCCAGGCUGCUAUCCCUGCACCUUACCUACUUUGCAGGGUAACGUACUGUCAAUCGGUGGCAGUGGGUUCUAGCAAGAUCUCAUGAGAUCACUUGGAGCUCCUGCGAGAUCUUCCAGAGCGCACAAAAUCUCAUGAGAUCUCAUGAGAUCUUGCCAGAAGCCACCACCAUUUACCCACCAGCAGUGGACGUGGUGGGGCUGGUGGGCUGCCCAUGGAAGUGCCCUCUUUGGGGUUUCUGCCACCCGAGACAGCUGCCUCAGCCCACCUCAUGGAAGGGGCAGGAAGGGUUUGAACUUAACACUUACCAGAGACAUUUAGAAUUAUUUUGCAGUUGAAUGCAUUACAUUACUGUUGUGUGGUACCACAAGAUAUUUUUUGUGGAUCCUCUUUCUUGGGAGGCUUCAUAAACAUCUGGCAAUUUCAAAGUACAGUCCUGUACUUAGUUCCACAUGAACCAGGGAUCCCACUGAUAGCAGAGAGUAAGGAUGUCUUUUGAACCCGCGGUGGCAACUCUGUAGCCUCACAAACAUUUUGUUCUAGCUUUUAACAGAAAUAGGCUGUGUGAGAAAUUACUGCCAGAUGGAAGAAGCAGAUGCUGAAUUUUCCUAUGUACAUGAACAAUUUUACCAGGGCUAUUUUAAGAAGUCAAAAUGAUCCUUAAUGUCUCUACAGUCUAUGGGAUCUCUGGGUUCUUGGCAUCUGUAUUUAUAUUAAUCCCACUCUGCCAUUUUCUUUGCAGCAGGCCUGUUGGUGCAGAGCAUAUACUUUCCUCCACUUUAUAUGACAAAUAAGGUGGUUGCCCUUAUCAUGGACCCCAAAUAACUCUCAAUCAGAGAGGUUCAGCUCCAGGGUACCUGGACAAUCAGCUCCUGCUUAAUUAGGUUAUAAUUGCAAGCGACCAUCUCAUUAGGAAUAGCUGGGAUUGAUGUGUCACUAGAACUUCUGUCCCUAGCAUGGGUAAGGGAUGGCAAAUAUUGGCAAUAAAAGUUCCACAGUGCUAAUGGUGUUUGCUGAAGCAAAAACAGUAGUCCAUAAAAAUUAUAGAAUUGUAAAGUUGAAUGGGUCUGGGGGGUCAUCAGUACCAACUUCCUUUACAAUGAACGAGCAUUACUGAAGCUACCUGAGCAGAAUAACUUGGUGGUUAACCAGAGUUGCAGGUCUGAACAGAGUCAUUUCAAUACAUUAUAGCAACUUUUCUAAAUAAUAUAUACAUAUACAAAACAACCAGAUAUAUAUUUUGUGCCAAUAUGUAUUUGAAAAUAUAUAUAUUGUGUACAUUUGCUUUGUGUGUGUGGGGGGGGGGGCAGGAUUAGACAUUGUUCACUAUGAAUAAGGUAUUUGAAAAAUGUUGUUUUGCAGGACUGGGCCAGGCAUUGCACAGAAAUGUAUAUAUGCUAUAAGGCAAGGCAAGCAACUUCAGGAAAGGGGUGGUGUGAAGUGGGGAAGCAGGGGGGAAUGCCUUUCCUAACUACUACAUGUCAAUCUCAUGAUGUUCUCAAGCUGCUUCCUUUAAUAAUAAUGGGAAGAAGAGGAGUUAUUGGGAAAGGGUUGUUAUAUGCACAUGUGUAGCUUAGAUUUUAUUGUGAGCAUUGCCACAUUCAUUGAAAACAUUGGUAUGGUUUGGGGAAGGAGGAGGAGGGUAGUUCCUCAGAGGAGAAAAAAGUCACAACUGUAGCUAAUGUGAGAGAUAGAAAAGAAGGUUGGGCGAUCCCUAUUUUCCUAACACAUUACACUUUCCCAGUGUAUGCAUGUCCUCACAAGCAUCUUUGCAACCUCAGGGGCUAGCAAAUUGUCCCUUCUCCUGUCUUGCAAGAUUAAGGAAGUUGAACUUGUGUGUCAGAGGUUAAUCCCAUGCAUUCCAUGGUGCCAUCUUGAGUGGGAAACUCCAGAAAAGAUGGAAAAACAAUUAAGAAUUCCCUCCUGCAAUGCGGAAUUAAAUUGUCAAAUCUGCUGACACAAGAUUGUGUGAUGACCACCAGCUUUCAUAGCUUUAAGGCUAGACAAAUUCAUGGAAGUUGUAAGCCAUGGAAUAUAUAUGCAUCUCUCCCUCUCUCUCUCUCUCUCUCUCUCUUUGUGUGUGUGUGUGUGUGUUUGAAAGAUUUAUAUGCCACUGAUCCAGAAAAAAUAAUGGUUCCAGGGUGGCUCAAUUUUUUAAAACAAAGUCCUAAUAAUCCCAGGGCCUUUUGAUGUACCUCUGCCCAUAAAGAGUCAACAAUGAGGACUUCAAAACAAAACAAAACACGACAACUGCAGACUGAUGAGAAAAGGUAGGGAACUGAAUUUAUGACUGGAAAAAUGAGAAACUGGAAUGGACAGAUUGCUCCAUCUCCAUUGGUGAGGAAUAUAAGGUUCCAUAGCUGCUGCAACCUUUGUCUGGGAGGUGCAAUUUGUUCCAGAGAAAAUGUUGAUGUUUUGCUCCCUGCACAUUCCCACUCCUUGGAAUCUUUGGCUGCCACAGAUGCUGCUUCAAUGCCAGGCUUCCUCCUGCGCAGCAGCAAUUCAGGGAAUCCUUCCACUUGCCAGACCAGUGAGCAGUGAACUUGCACAGUCGUAGCAACUGCAAAUGUCUAAGCCUAUGCCGAGAGUUUUUAUCCCAGCCCACUUUAUUCCAAAGGCACAGGGAUAGUAACAUUAACAAGACUGCUUUAAAAUAUGCCUUUGAAAGACAGAUAAUCUACAACAACACACACCAAGUGUAUUACAGUAUCUGUCUUCAGCCACUUAAUGCUUUCCUUUGGAAUGCACUCAGAUUUCUACUUUCAAGAGCCUCCAGAGGAUGGAAUAAUUAAGGGAAAACAGCUUUGUAGAGAAAGGCAAACAAUCUGAGGUGGCAGAAGCAGGAAGAUUUUGCCUGGCCCCUAAAAGAUCUCGUAACUGGCAGUGGGCCUAUUGUCUUGUCUCUAUCCCCCCUCAAAAUAUGGGAAGCACCCACCCAGUGAAUUUUCUCCUAGCCAACAGUUGGCCAAGGGACCAAGAGCUGGCUAAGUAUGCAGAGAUUUCUUUUAAAGUUCUAAAUAGAGAAUAAUUACAACAUUAUUUUGCAUAGAGGCAGAGAGUUGUUAUACAAACUAAUGCUCUGCUGCCCACUGUGCUUUGUAACGGUCUUCUUUGCAGUGGGUUUUAGUUUAAAAGCUGGCAUAAUUUAGAUGAAAACCCAGAACCAUUUGCCUCUUCUUUUUUAAUUAGAACGUUUUGUAAUUGGGGAAACAAUGAUGUAGAGAACGUCCUGAAAGCUGUAUUGUUUUAAAUGUAAGAGUAGGGUUUUAUUUUUUUCAGGGGGGAUCCCUUGAUGUAUUUUAUUUGCUUUUAUGUGUAUGAUUUCCAGAUAGGAUAGCAUAAUCACAGCAUGACACAUAAAUCUUAACAUAAUAGCUUUAAUGGAUUUUUCAGAGCCACUACAAUUUAGCAUGCCAAAGCACACUUAAGGAAGCUUUAAUUUAUGUUAUUAAUCAUAGGGUUUGGAGCUGACGGUGGAGUGGCAGGGACAGAAAAGCAUGGUCACCUUCCCAUAAAAAGAGCAAAAGCAACUAGGCAGUAGACAGCAGGCUUAAGGGCAUGUCUGGGUGUUGGGACAAGAAAAUCCGUGAGCCACACAUUGGCCUGUUCAGAUGCUCCCAACAAGGAACUUCUCACAGUCCUUUUAAGGCAGAAGAUCUGGUCAUAGUCAGCCUUCCUCACUAGGUGGCACAAUCACAUAUCUAGAUGCCUACAUUUUGGUGGGGCAAGCUUACAGUAUGAGUUUUUGUAGAAGGCUUCACUCGUGAUGAAUUCUUGUUCUUUCAGUCAAUGACGUCACAUCAGAAAUUCUGAAGCCAAGUACGCCAAAACAUUUUAGAUGGGGUGAAGCAGCGCAG